AACGAACGCUGGCGGCAUGGCUAAGACAUGCAAGUCGCACGGACCGUAUAGCAAUAUGCGGUUAGUGGCGAAAGGGAGAGUAAUGAAUAGGUAAUGUACCUUGGACACAGGGAUAACGCCGGGGGCAACCCCUUUACGAAAGUGGCGCUAAUACCUGGUGAAGUCGGGACGGGGCAUCCCGUUGCGACCAGAGGGCGGGGAUCGUAAGACCUGCCGGUCUGAGAGCAGCCUAUCCUAUCACCUAGUUGGUGAGGUAACGGCUCACCAAGGGAUCGACGGGUAGCGGGUGUGAGAGCACGAUCCGCCUCAUCGGGACUGAGACACUGCCCGGACACCUACGGGUGGCUGCAGUAACGAAUAUUGGGCAAUGGGCGCAAGCCUGACCCAGCAAUG
rnacentral:rRNA from 1 species